GACGAACCGAGCGAACGUUGUUCGGAAUCACUGGGCUUAAAGGGCGCGUAGGCGGGCGGCCGCGUCCGGGGUGAAAUCCCACGGCUCAACCGUGGAACGGCCCCGGGUACGGGCGGCCUCGAGGGGGGUAGGGGCGUGCGGAACUGUGCGUGGAGCGGUGAAAUGCGUUGAUAUGCACAGGAACUCCGGUGGCGAAGGCGGCACGCUGGGCCCUCCCUGACGCUGAGGCGCGAAAGCCAGGGGAGCGAACGGG
rnacentral:rRNA from 1 species